UCAGCUCGUGCCGUGAGGUGUCGGGUAAGUCCCAUAACGAGCGCAACCCUACCCUUUAGUUGCCAUCAGGUUAAGCUGGGGACGUCUAAAGGAACUGCCUACGCAAGUAGUGAGGAAGGCGGGGAGUGACGUCAGAUCAGCACGGCCCUUACGUCCAGGGCUACACACGUGCUACAAUGGCCGAUACAGAGGGCAGCUACCUGGUGACAGGAUGCAAAUCUCCAAAGUCGGUCUCAGUUCGGAUCGGAGUCUGCAACCCGACUCCGUGAAGUUGGAUUCGCUAGUAAUCGCGCAUCAGCCAUGGCGCGGUGAAUACGUUCCCGGGCCUU
rnacentral:rRNA from 1 species